GAUGAACGCUGGCGGCGUGCCUAAUACAUGCAAGUCGAGCGAACGGACGAUAAGCUUUCUUCUCUGAUGUUAGCGGCGGACGGGUGAGUAACACGUGGAUAACCUACCUCUAAGUCUGGGAUAACUUCGGGAAACCGGAGCUACUACCGCAUCAUAUUUUCAACCGCUUGGUUCAAAAGUGAUACACGGUUUUCCCGUUACUUUUAGCUGGAUCCGCGUUGCAUUAGCUAGUUGGUAAGGUAACGGCUUACCAAGGCAACGAUGCGUAGCUGACCUGAGAGGGUGAUCAGCCACACUGGAACUGAGACACGGUCCAGACUCCUACGGGAGGCAGCAGUAGGGAAUCUUCCGCAAUGGGCGAAAGCCUGACGCAGCAACGCCGCGUGAGUGAUGAAGGUCUUCGGAUCGUAAAACUCUGUUAUUAGGGAAGAACAUAUGUGUAAGUAACUGUGCACAUCUUGACGGUACCUAAUCAGAAAGCAACGGCUAACUACGUG
rnacentral:rRNA from 1 species